rnacentral:rRNA from 1 species
AUUGAACGCUGGCGGCAGGCCUAACACAUGCAAGUCGAGCGGAUGAAGGGAGCUUGCUCCUGGAUUCAGCGGCGGACGGGUGAGUAAUGCCUAGGAAUCUGCCUGGUAGUGGGGGAUAACGUCCGGAAACGGGCGCUAAUACCGCAUACGUCCUGAGGGAGAGAGUGGGUGAUCUUCGGACCUCACGCUAUCAGAUGAGCCUAGGUCGGAUUAGCUAGUUGGUGGGGUAAAGGCCUACCAAGGCGACGAUCCGUAACUGGUCUGAGAGGAUGAUCAGUCACACUGGAACUGAGACACGGUCCAGACUCCUACGGGAGGCAGCAGUGGGGAAUAUUGGACAAUGGGCGAAAGCCUGAUCCAGCCAUGCCGCGUGUGUGAAGAAGGUCUUCGGAUUGUAAAGCACUUUAAGUUGGGAGGAAGGGCAGUAAGUUAAUACCUUGCUGUUUUGACGUUACCAACAGAAUAAGCACCGGCUAACUUCGUG